GGGCUGGGGCUUAGUGGUAAAGUGCUUGCCUUGCAUACGUGAGGCACUGAGUUCAAUCCUCAGCACCACA
rnacentral:tRNA from 1 species